GCUUACGGCCAUACCACUCUGACAAAGCCUGAUCUCAUCUGACCUCGGAAGCAGUCAGCAGAAGAAGUCAGCAUGGGGGUGUACACUAAAGAAGCUACAGUCACUGUGGAUU
rnacentral:rRNA from 1 species